UACGAAGGGGGCUAGCGUUGCUCGGAAUCACUGGGCGUAAAGCGCACGUAGGCGGAUCUUUAAGCCAGGGGUGAAAUCCUGGAGCUCAACUCCAGAACUGCCUUUGAUACUGGGGAUCUCGAGUCCGGAAGAGGUGAGUGGAACUCCGAGUGUAGAGGUGAAAUUCGUAGAUAUUCGGAAGAACACCAGUGGCGAAGGCGGCUCACUGGUCCGGUACUGACGCUGAGGUGCGAAAGCGUGGGGAGCAAACAGG
rnacentral:rRNA from 1 species